UUUUCUUUUUCUUCCUGUUUGAAGACCUUUUCUUACUUCAGCUGCUGAAGAUAUUCAGCUAUUGGUUUUCUUCAUCAGCCACCAUUACCACAGGUGAAGAGACACAGUUAAGAAUUUCACCAAAUUAGUGUUGCAAAGCAAAUGCAGAGGUUAAUUUUUCAUCUCAUAUUUUGCCAAGCCUAAACAAGAAAGUGCUCUUGUGAAAUGAAGCCUGCAAGACUGAGAUCACAGAGAAGGUAAAACCAAGAGCCACAGUGAUUUUCUAGAUUUUACGCAAUAUUAAGGAUAACAACCAAACAUUUAGAAAAUUGUGAUAAUUUUUAGAAAUAUAAUUUACUUACAGACUCGGGUUUUUUUGAGGGGAUACAAGUUCUGUGUUACCUUUUGUGCAUAUUUUUAAAUGAGAUUAAAGAAGAAAUAUGUUUCAGGGAACAGAGUGAGAGAAUUUCCUGCCUUGUGAGGAUCUUGGGCCUCUCAGAGAUCAUCAGCAGUACUCAGAGGAUCUGGAUGGUACAAGUACCAUACUCCUGAAAGGAAGCAUUCAACAGUAUGCUCUACAGACCAUAUAAUGGCAUUAUGUCUAAGAACUUAAAAAUACAUUACCUGUAAAAAGUGCCUAAAAAAAAAAAGGCUUUUCACUUCUCUGGAAACAAGGAACUCUACAGCUGAGAGAGACCUGAAUGACAGGAAUCAAGUUCAUACUGCAAUAUGCUCAAAAGCCGGUGAUGUUUGGAUGAAGAACUUUUCAAGAGAGCACUGCUACUUCAGUGAAUACUGAAUUAAGCACCUCAUGUGACACUAAACUCUCUCAAAAUCUCCUUUGGAUGCAAAAUUUUGGGCUGGGCACAUCUCUGCUGAGCAUCUCUGGCAAAACCUGAGAAUAUCAAAUUUGUGCCUGGUGAACCUCAUGUUGAUUUCUGCCCUCUACUGGGAGUGAAUCCAGAGGCACUCACACAGUGACAGCAAACUGGAAAUGUCAUUGGUGAUAGAAAAAUAUAUCCUUGCACACACAUAUGGGUGAUGCCACUUUUUAAUGCUUUUGUGACAGCUGAACAGUUUAACCUGUUAAACUGCUACUUUGGAUGAUGAUACAGGAACUGAAAUAGCUGUGGAAUUGUAGGUACAAAGCACUUUUGCAAAUGCAGUGAGGAUUUUAAGAUUUGAAGAAUAAAAAACACCAAAACAU